UACGUAGGGGGCUAGCGUUGUCCGGAAUCAUUGGGCGUAAAGGGCGCGUAGGCGGCGCAACAAGUCACUUGUGAAAUCUCCGGGCUUAACCCGGAGCGGUCAAGUGAUACUGUCGUGCUAGAGUGCGGAAGGGGCUACUGGAAUUCUCGGUGUAGCGGUGAAUGCGUAGAUAUCGAGAGGGAACACCCUGCGGCGAAGGCGGGUAGCUGGGCCGACACUGACCGC
rnacentral:rRNA from 1 species